UGAGCAGGUAGCUUUUAGCCACACCUUUUAUUUCCAGGCCUAUACCUGUGUGGCAAAGGCUUAAAUAGGAGGUAUUUCUGAAGGAAAAUUAACUCCAGUUUAUUUAAAUAUACCAUGCUUCGUGUAUAUAUGUCCUCUCCUUCCAAACUGGAAUUUCCAGUUAAAUUCAAGGAAUAAUUAUCAAGUAAAUACAACAUGACAAGAGCAAGGCUAAGUACAGGACAGUUCCUGCCUUAAGGAAUCUAAGGUGAAAGGAUAAGUCUAAUGGAAGCGCAUUCCAGUUUGCUGAUGAGCACAAAAGCCAUAGCAGCUAAGUGCCAUGGGUUCCAGAGAAGGAAAGUGUCUCCGUGCAGGCUGGCUUCAUAAAGGCUUCUGAGAUAGGCCUAAAGGAUAGAUCAGAUUUCAGGAAGUAAGCACAAGACAGGAAUAAGCAAGAAAUAAUGAUGACACACAAGGAAUGGAGAGGAAAGAAUGCCAUCAGAAGAAUAUCUUCAGAGAAUUGCACAAUAAACAAAGAGUAAUGUUAUGAAGAAGACUUGAGCAGGCAGUCCAGAGCUGAUACAGCUGCUCCAAUCACCAGAGAUGCAAUCUCCUGCUAGAUGUCUUCACAUCUACCUUUCUAUGUCACAUGUGCAAGAUGGUUGCUCUGCCUUCAGACAUCACAUCUACAUUCCAGGCAGAAAGGAGAAGGAAAGAGCAAAAGAUGUGUUCUGAACAAAUCCAUCUUAAAAACAAACAAGGGGAGGGGUAGCAGGAGAAAAUUUAAAAAAAAGAAGAAGAAAAACAAAAACAGGAAAGCCGUUGUUUCCCUAAAAGCCCCAUCAAGCCGACUUCUACUGGUGACUCAUUACCCAGUCAUGUGGCCACCCCUGGAUUCAAGGCAGUCUGAGGAGGUGAGUGUUUCAAAGAGGCACAUGGAUGCCACAGACAAAAUCAAGUUUCCAUGGUUGAAGGAGAAGAGGACGAUGGAGUUUGGGGAGGCAGCAGGCUACGUCUGCCACAGAAGAUAUAAAGAUAUGGAGCCACACGAGAAGAUGGGGGAGGCUGCCAAAAAAGUCCACUGGGUACAGGUGAGGAGCAGGUGACAUUGGAGUUGCUCCAUCUGAGGAGCCCGCACCUGCAAUGGCUUGUGCUCCUGCUCCUGUGGGUGUAGGCACAAGGCUGAUGCCGAGAGAGUGAGUUGUUUCUGUUGGGGUUCAGAACACAAUACCCCAAAGUAUGGCGAUGAGUACUUAACUAAAGGACAUUGGAAGGCCUCAGAAGCAGCCUCAGAUCCAAGGUCCCUCUGACCUGCUCCUGCCCUCCUGUCUCUCUCGUCCCUCGUGCUCCCCUGAAGUGAGUCAUAGAAACCAGAAUCCUCUUCCCCACGGUAGGUCCUAGAAACUAGAACCCUUUUUCCCCGAAGCAAAAGCCAUAAAAACUGGAAUUAUUACUCUAAACUCUCCUUGACUUUUUGUCCA